rnacentral:rRNA from 1 species
AGGCAGCAGUGGGGAAUAUUGCACAAUGGGCGCUAAGCCUGAUGCAGCCAUGCCGCGUGUAUGAAGAAGGCCUUCGGGUUGUAAAGUACUUUCAGCAGUGAGGAAGGUGGGUAUGUUAAUAGCAUACUCAUUUGACGUUAGCUGCAGAAGAAGCACCGGCUAACUCCGUGCCAGCAGCCGCGGUAAUACGGAGGGUGCGAGCGUUAAUCGGAAUUACUGGGCGUAAAGCGCAUGCAGGUGGUUUGUUAAGUCAGAUGUGAAAGCCCGGGGCUCAACCUCGGAAUUGCAUUUGAAAACUGGCAAACUAGAGUACUGUAGAGGGGGGUAGGAAUUUCAGGUGUAGCGGUGAAAUGCGUAGAGAUCUGAAGGAAUACCGGUGGCGAAGGCGGCCCCCUGGACAGAUACUGACACUCAGAUGCGAAAGCGUGGGGAGCAAACAGGAUUAGAUACCCUGGUAG